AUCACAUGACAAUACUGUUGCAUAGAUACUGAUUGACAUAAUAAUGAUUUCAUAAACUGACAAAUAAUAUUGAUAAAGAUAGCAGGAAAAUUCGUCCAUAUAAUCUACAAGACACUCGUUAUGUACAGGUCACCUAUAAUCUACAGGUCACCUAUAAUCUACAGGUCUCCUAUAAUCGUGAGACACCACCCCGGCGUGGAUUAUUCUCCUGUCCACAUUAUUUUAAGUAAGUAAUAUCUCAUAUUUCCUCUUUUUGUGUGAG